rnacentral:rRNA from 1 species
GGCUGUCGUCAGCUCGUGGUCGCGAGAUGGUUGGGUUAACGUACCGUAACGAGCGCAACCCUGUCCUUAGUUACCAGCACGUUAUGGUGGGCACUCUAAAGGAGACUGCCGGUGACAAACCGGAGGAAGGUGGGGAUGACGUCAAGUCAUCAUGGCCCUUACGGCCUGGGCUACACACGUGCUACAAUGGUCGGUACAAAGGGUUGCCAAGCCGCGAGGUGGAGCUAAUCCCAUAAAACCGAUCGUAGUCCGGAUCGCAGUCUGCAACUCGACUGCGUGAAGUCGGAAUCGCUAGUAAUCGUGAAUCAGAAUGCCACGGUGAAUACGUUCCCGGGCCUU